rnacentral:lncRNA from 1 species
GGUCUGUAUGUAGGGAAGGGUGACAAGCGUUUGUUGCCGGUCUGUGUGCAGGGAAGGGUGACAAGCGUUUGUUGCUGGUCUGUAUGUAGGGAAGGGUGCCAAGCGUUUGUUGCUGGUCUGUGUGCAGGGAAGGGUGACAAGCGUUUGUUGCUGGUUUGUAUGUAGAGGAUGGUGACAAUCGCUUGUUGCCGGUCUGUAUGUAAGGAAGGGUGACAAGCGUUUGUUGCUGGUCUGUGUGUAAGGAAAGGUGUCAAUCGCUUGUUGCUGGUCUGUAUGUAGGGAAGGUUGACAAUCGCUUGUUGCUGGUCUGUAUGUAGGGAAGGUUGAAGAGGUUGCUCGUCCAGCAGUUUCUGACAAUCCAUCUAACUACAGUUAGAAGAACAAGUGGGGAAAGAUUUAUGUGGCAAUGGCCCAUGUUUUCUCCAUCAGAGUUAAGACAUUAUGGAUAUACUGGACAUUUAAUUGUCCCCGUUUUUCAGCAGACCUGACACGAAUUUGUACAUACAUAUGACCUAUUGUGGACUUCAGUAGAUGUGACUGUUAUUGUUCAGUUAUCUGUAUUCACACAGGAGGUGAUUCCGUUUCUAACAAUGGCAUAAUCUAUAUAUAUGAUUAUAUAUCAUAACUAUGUUAUCGCAACUUUGAUUAAACGCUUUUUUAGAACGAUUCACAUUAGCCAGGCAGACACUGUUAUAUUUGUGAACAAAACACAUUUAAUUUUUUGCCAACAAAACUCUUGUCCUUAUUGCGUUUGACCCUACAUUAUUUCACCUUAGCCCAACCUUUUUCUAGAUAGUGAGCACUAACGGUUCUCUAUAUCUGUCCCUAUAGCAUCCCUUUCUAUCCCUUCCCUACUACUUGGGAAAGACGCAACCCCAGUUGUAUGAGCCCUCCAGUUGUAUGAGCCUCCAAGUCUAUAUUGCAUCACAAAAUGAUGAUAAAUACCUUGUCCUGCCCUCCCCUUUAGCAUCUACUCAUCACGUUCCACGUUACCCGUGCUGUUAUGCCCUUUGCCCAUCCAACACACCCCACCCCACCCUCCUCACAACCCCGACUUCCUCCCACCCCACCCUACAGUAACCCCAAUGCCUUUCAUCAAUCUGAGACAACCCCCACCCGCCUUCGGUUACUACUAUACGAACUCAACCCACGUCCUCUCUCGAUACAGUAAUUUUCCACUUUCUUCCCAACAACUGCAUAAAUUCAACCCGGCCCCUCCCCCGGCCCAGGGCUCGUCCCUCCAUUGUUAACUCAGUUAAGAACCUACUGCUUUGCACUGCGAGGGGAGCAGGCGUUUUGAAAUCAACUCUUCUAUCCCCGCCCCUGGCCCUCAUUUACGUGGGGUGUUAAGCUUCGGUAUACAAAGUUUUUUAACAGAAACUCAUAAUUUCAAACACAAAAAUAAACUUUGGAUUCCUGCAAGAAAAUCAAUAGCCUCUUCUAGUAAUGUGCGUUAAACGCCCGAUCAUUCCAAGAGGUCUAUUUGUUCUACAGUAUGUGUGAUAUCGAUGUUCGGUUUGUCUUUGGUGCCUGUUCUAUGUCACAUCCCGACAACUCGUCGUAGAAGGCACAAUGCCAAACACUCCCGAAUCAUCUACAAUUCAACUUGCAAAUGAACUGCAAAUCUUUCCUACUGAAUUUCAAUUACAUAUUAAUGUCUAUACAGAUUGACAUUAAACUGCAGCCGGCGUGGGCAGGCUCCUCGUGGUGCUGUUGCCUUCAGCAGCAGUAGUUGUCUGUGUUACAUGGCUGGUGUGGUAACCGAUGUCCAUGCUGUAGAUGUCCUCGUGGUGGUAGUGAGGCAUCCUGCAGAUCAUGUGCAGAACUAUUGUGCCAACACUCAACUAGUAUCUGUAGCUCAAGUUGGUCCAUUGUUGGGUUUGGUAAACUGACAGGUUAGAUAAAGGUAAUGCUCACUCCACUUCAUAUUUCUACUCUUGAUAGGAGUGUGUGUCUGUCGACUGUAACGCUUCUGUUUGCUGAUCAGGCAGGCCGACUGUGUGGCUAGCAGCCACGUCCUAUGUAGAUGUGUAAGGCGCCUUUUUCUUCUUUCUUCUCGGUAGCUCAGUGUAAGAAAAUAGCACUCACGUCAUCCACCUUUGACCCUUAUUCCAUGGCACCCACCCACACAGUGGCACACUACUACAGCGCAUUGAUGCAAGACCAAUCCCCCCAAACCCCACCCUGCUCCGCCAUCACACACACAUAAAUACACACUAACACACUGCCAUCUCAGAACCGUACACAAUUACCUACGACCCGGAAAUGGUCUCAUACACUGACCUUGACCCAUCACAAGGUGACACGGGCAGACAUGGCGUCACACCAACAGCUCUUGGCACAGCAGUAUGCAGUGUAAGGAAUGUUCAGAUUGAUGCGUGUUAGCGAGUGGCGAUGUUCGGAUCUGUAUGUCUGCGAUUUGAAGUAUAUGUCGUUUUUUUGUUUCUGGAAAGCGUGAAUUUGUUACGUAAGGUCUACAUUUAAGGAAACUGUUGACAUAAAGAUGUGCAAGGAUCUGCAUGUAGACACACUCCCAUUCUGUCGAGGGAGAAGAUUUACAUUAAGGUCCAGGAACAAGACUAUCAUAUUCAGUAAUACACACGUAUAUCUACAAAGUAGACGACAUAAUCCAAAUGGCGCCCAGAACAAUGAAUAACCCUGGACUGUGGCUAUUUGGAUUUGCGAUAUCAUUCCAGAUUUGAGUUUGAUUCGUUUUUUUAAUUAAUCCUUAGGUUUGGAAUAUAGAGGCGGAGGUUAAAUCCACUUGACAAAUUAUGUUGCUGGUAUCGGUAUUUGUGAAUCUAUUAAUGAUUAAUCUAAUGUAAAUGGACAGUUGCAGAAUGUGUUGCCACAAACCAAUACUACAUCAUAUUGGUUGAGCACACUGUUCGCGAUAUAUGCCAGUAUUUAUAACGACCUGAUUAUGUACGAAGACUUGUAUUUGCUUAUUGGUAGAUAGUGUAGGUUGUUUCAGCUUUGGGAAAUUAGCAGUUUGUCCUCCGUGUGCAGAGCAGACAACCUGGGCCUCCACGGUAGUCCUCACUGCACGUAUGUGUCUGGAGCAGACGAGAGAAAUGGUCGCCUGGUGCGUGUAGAGUAGAAUGUCUGUUGUGAGAAUGAAGGACCACUCUGGUCUGUCUGUGUGGAGGGUAGAAUAUCUGUUAUUUGAAUAAACGACUGACGUGUGUUUGUUGGAAGAUGCAGAUACUCUGUUGUGAGAACGAAGAAGACCCGAAUAAUGUGUGUCUUUGUUUGGAUUACACAAAUCAUUGCUUGAAUAAGCGGAACCGACCGGUGUGUGUGUGUGUGUGUGUGUGUGUGUGUGUGUGUGUGUUCGUCUGUCUUAUAUGUGACUAAAUGUUCCCGACUGACUUGCGGCAGUGUGUAACACAGACUGUUGUGGGGAUAAUCGGAACCGACUUAUCUGUGUCUGUUGUGUGAAUGAACUGUGUAAAUGUUAUUUUAGUAGACUGAGGUGUGUAUGUGGUAAGACAGACUGUUGUGUUAGUGAAGAGAUCCAGUAGACGUGUGUCUGUGUGAAGACAGACUGUUCUGUUAGUGAAGAGAUCCAGUAGACGUGUGUCUGUGUGAAGACCCGAUUGUCUUGUGCGUCAAACGCAUUUAGUGAGAGAAAGACCUGACGAGUUUAGCGGAUUCUUGUAGAAUGAUAUAGUCUGUAAGUUACAUAGAAUGGUUAGAAAUAUAAGCUGUAAUGCUGUAUUGUAUUUAUGCGGCAUUAUAGACCAUUGUGAAACUUUGAAACAAUAACACCGGCACGGAAGUGUCACCGUGUUGUGUACCAGCAGCCCCUCAGCAUACACGCGUGUGUGUUUAAGUGUUUGUCUGACUUCAUGUUACUGAGUGAGUGUGAGAAGAGUAAUCUCCCCUUGGUGAAGGCUGCCGUGUACUGUCGUGAAUGUGUCACCCACCCACCCACAAACUCCCACUGUCGAAACCCUCCACACCAUGACAAUGACAUCACCUACCCGCAUCACCUACCCUUCAGAUUGUUCUUUCACCACACUCCCAAAACCCGCCACCCCUGCCACGAAUGGGUCAACCCAACCGCCACCUAUAAAGCUGUCCGCACCCACCCUUGCUCGCCUAGACCCAUGCCACUCCAACAUGUCGUUGACAGUCCAGUGCUCAAAUGUGUGCCAUUAUUACAAAUUUCAUUUUGCACGUUUCAAUAUCAAUAUGUAGUUAAAUGCAAAAGUUCGGAACAAUUCGGGAAAACUGAGCGUUUUUUUACUCAACUGUUUAUGUGUCGACGUGGUGAUGCUAUCGUGAACAUGUCUAGUCACGUGACCUCGUCUAUUUCGCCAACAUUGUCGUAUUUGCCUGUGAAAGCCUAACAGAAAAUAUUCUCAUUCGUGCUAGUAUGAGUUAUCUCCACCUUCACCCGUGCUUCUAAAGCAGGUGUUGAAUAUUACCUAAGUCAAGGAACAUCAAAUGAUCCCAUUUUGCUAAAAGUGUUUAAUGAGGACUUUCUACUUUCUUCCCGAACCAUGACAUAUUGUAUAUGUUUAUUGGUGUUCGACCUAUCAGUAUUUAUAUCAGGAACUACAAGGGAGAUAACCCAUAUGCGUACUUCUAGUACUGUAGCCUACUGCGUGUGAUGAAACCUCUCGUGCUGGUAUCUAGUCCCGUGCUUUAUAUCUAGAGGUUGUGGUCAAGCUGACCGACACAUAUUGCAGGUCGUGGAUAUCUACCACUUUUGUUCUUGAUUACAUUUACGUAUAGUCACUUAUAUGAUUUUCUUAUUUUGUAGCACUUGUUUAUUUGUAUCUGUCAACAAGCGCGUUUAGAUUUGUUCUACUUGUUUGUGACUGUAUUGAACUGCUACUGUGUUGUACAUAUACAGAAGCCACGAAUAAAGCUGUUUUGUCAGA